rnacentral:rRNA from 1 species
GGAUCCAGACUUUGAUUCUGGCUCAGGAUAAACGCUGGCGGCGCACAUAAGACAUGCAAGUCGAACGGAAGUCGUUACAAAAGGAGAGAAGAUUUAUCGGAUUGAAUUUUAUAACAAUGGCUUUAGUGGCGGACUGGUGAGUAACGCGUAAGGAACCUACCUAUUAGAGGGGAACAACAAUGAGAAAUCAUUGCUAAUACCGCAUAUGCCAUAACUACCGCACGGUAGAAGUGGGAAAGGAGUAAUCCGCUGAUAGAUGGCCUUGCGUCUGAUUAGUUAGUUGGUGGGGUAACGGCCUACCAAGACGACGAUCAGUAGCCGGACUGAGAGGUUGAACGGCCACAUUGGGACUGAGAUACGGCCCAGACUCCUACGGGAGGCAGCAGUCGGGAAUAUUGCGCAAUGGAGGAAACUCUGACGCAGUGACGCCGCGUGCAGGAAGAAGGUUUUCGGAUUGUAAACUGCUUUAGACAGGGAAGAGAAAGGACAGUACCUGUAGAAUAAGCUCCGGCUAACUACGUGCCAGCAGCCGCGGUAAUACGUAGGGAGCGAGCGUUAUCCGGAUUUAUUGGGUGUAAAGGGUGCGUAGACGGGAAUACAAGUUAGUUGUGAAAUACCUCGGCUUAACUGAGGAACUGCAACUAAAACUAUAUUUCUUGAGUACAGGAGAGGUAAGUGGAAUUCCUAGUGUAGCGGUGAAAUGCGUAGAUAUUAGGAGGAACACCAGUGGCGAAGGCGACUUACUGGACUGAAACUGACGUUGAGGCACGAAAGUGUGGGGAGCAAACAGGAUUAGAUACCCUGGUAGUCCACACCGUAAACGAUGGAUACUAGGUGUAGGAGAUAUUAAGUCUUCUGUGCCGUCGCAAACGCAGUAAGUAUCCCACCUGGGGAGUACGGCCGCAAGG